rnacentral:ncRNA from 1 species
AAUUUAUCAAGAAAGGUGGAGGGAAAGGCCCUAUGAAACCUUAGCAACCCUGUAAUUUUACAGAAGGUGCUAAAUCCAACCCAAUUUAUUGGGAUAGAUAAGUC